rnacentral:rRNA from 1 species
UGGGGAAUUUUUGGACAAUGGGCGCAAGCCUGAUCCAGCCAUGCCGCGUGUCUGAAGAAGGCCUUCGGGUUGUAAAGGACUUUUGUCAGGGAAGAAAAGGCUGUUGCUAAUACCGACAGCUGAUGACGGUACCUGAAGAAUAAGCACCGGCUAACUACGUGCCAGCAGCCGCGGUAAUACGUAGGGUGCGAGCGUUAAUCGGAAUUACUGGGCGUAAAGCGAGCGCAGACGGUUACUUAAGCAGGAUGUGAAAUCCCCGGGCUCAACCUGGGAACUGCGUUCUGAACUGGGUGACUAGAGUGUGUCAGAGGGAGGUAGAAUUCCACGUGUAGCAGUGAAAUGCGUAGAGAUGUGGAGGAAUACCGAUGGCGAAGGCAGCCUCCUGGGAUAACACUGACGUUCAUGCUCGAAAGCGUGGGUAGCAAACAGGAUUAGAUACCCUGGUAGUCCACGCCCUAAACGAUGUCAAUUAGCUGUUGGGCAACUUGAUUGCUUAGUAGCGUAGCUAACGCGUGAAAUUGACCGCCUGGGGAGUUACGGUCGCAAGAUUUUAA